rnacentral:rRNA from 1 species
CGUAAGGACUCGGCGAACCGCUCAGUAACACGCGGAUAACAUGCCCUUGGGUGGAGGAUAAUCUCGGGAAACUGAGGAUAAUACUCCAUAGAUCUACUAUGCUGGAAUGCUUGUAGGUCCAAAACUCCGGUGCCCAAGGAUUGGUCUGCGGCGUAUCAGGUUGUAGUGGGUGUAACGGACCCACUAGCCAGUGACGCGUAAGGGCCUUGAAAGAGGGAGCCCUGAGAUGGACUCUGAGACAUGAGUCCAGGCCCUACGGGGCGCAGCAGUCGCGAAAACUUCACAAUGGGGGAAACCCCGAUGAGGGAAUUCCAAGUGCCAGCACAUUGUGUUGGCUGUUCUCCUGUCUAAAAAGCAGGAGAAGUAAGGGCCGGGUAAGACGGGUGCCAGCCGCCGCGGUAAUACCCGCGGCCCGAGUGGUGGUCGAUAUUAUUGAGCCUAAAACGUUCGUAGCCGGUCUUGUAAAUCCUUGGGUAAAUCGGCCAGCUUAACUGUCCGAAGUCCGGGGAGACUGCAAGACUUGGGAUCGGGAGAGGUCAGAGGUACUUCUGGGGUAGGGG